CAUGAAGCAAAAAGAAGAAUAGAAGUUCUAUGCCGGGAAAGCUAGAACAUUUUGAUGGGAGCUGUGUUUCCUUCUGAGAUAAGAGUUAUCCUUCAACCACUGAACACAUAGGAGAAAAGUCCUGUCAGGAAAAGCUAUGGAAAUAACACCCGGAUCCAAACGCCCCUGGCCCGCCUGACCCGACCCCUCGGAGAAGCAGCUGAGUUACCCGACAUCCUGGUCUGCAGGAGAUGGCUCAGAGACUGGUUUCAGCAGCUGCAGGAACUCAGCACCUAGGAGGGUUCCUGUGGAGGGAAGAGAGGCAGAGAUGCGACAUUUUUAAAGUUUCACAAAACAUCCAGCUGCACCCAAGUCCCUGGAGCAGGAGACACACAGAAUUAAUGUUUUAUACCUUCGGGUAUAGGUUUGAGUUUUUUUCCCCUCAUGCCAAGUAUUUAAAACCUCUAGAAACCCA